AGAUACAGUCAGAGAAAUAUUUAUAAAUUUUGACAGCAUCUGUUCAGAUGUUGAUGGGGAAAUUACAAUCAGAGAAUUAUGGAGCUGAGAAAUUGAAUAGAUACAUCAAUGAAAUUAACCAGCGUAGAUGAAAUAGUAGGAGAAAUAACAAAAUACGUACUCUGAAAACAGGGAUGCAAUUACUUUCUUGCAAGAUACAUCUGGAAAUAUUCUUAAGCAUUUGUUCAGGCAUUGAUGGGAAAAUUAUAACAAAGAAAUUAUGGAGUAGACAAAUUGAGUAGAUAGAUUAAAGAACUUAACCAGUGUAGAUGAAAUACUAGAAGAAAUAACAGAUUCGUACUCCGAAAACAGGGAUGCAAUUACCAUCUUGCAGGAUACAUCUGAAAAUAUUCUUAAGAUAAGAGAAAUAUUAAACAUUAUUUUCUUCAAUGAAUCCUUUAUUUCAAAUUAAUGUUGUUGAGUACAAUGUUUGAAUAUAUAAUAAUAUGAUUUCCUUUCCUUUAUUUUCAGGAUUUACUCAGACAUUGAUGAGGAAAUUGCAACUAAAAAAUUAUGCAGUAGAAAAGUUUGAUAGAUACAGUGAAGAAAUUAUCCAAAGAAGAGGAUUAUUAAAUCAGAUAGACAAAUUAUUUUAUUUCAUCUAAUCACUUCACAUUAUUUUUUACUAUUUUUCACUUAGGUUAUUUAUUGGUAUUUAUUUAUCUUGAAUAUUUUACUUCUUUUAACUACUCUAACUUUAGAUGAAUGUACUACUUUUCAUUUUAUUUAUUUCACUUAUCUCAUUUCAUUUUACUUAGUUGUUAUACUUAUUUUGUUUGUAUAUUUAUUUUCCCUAUUUUCUUAUUUUAGCUAACAUGGUACAAAUUAGUUUCUACGUAGAACACUAUAGUAUUUGUUAGAAUUUUAUUCUGUGAUUAAUCCCCUUCGACGGUUCUGGGCACCAUGACUUCGGGUCAUCGGCCACACGCGCGUUCCUUCGAGAAUCGGCGAUCGAACUCUCUAUCGCCGUUCCAUAAACAAAACAUCCGCGACUCUUAGAAUUCGUCGCACCUCAAGUAUCAACCACCGCCGGCCCAAGUCCGAUGACAGACAUAUGGCUCGGGGUAUCGAUAGCCUAAAGAAUCCUAAGAAAUCCUUGAAACUCAGGUCAAAGCCCAAAAUGCAUUGACCCUGACACGUGUCAACCCUUGAACACGUGCUGAAGCUAACAUAUUAAUAACAAGUAAGAUAGUUAAGAAAGUAAGAAAAUGGAAAAUGGAAAAAUAUAUUAAAAACUUUGUAACAGGUUUGGGAACGCUCCUCAUAAAAGCGCCAGGCAAUCCUGCAGGGGAAGUUUAAUAAACUUAUCUAUCUACUUA